UGAACAGCCAUGCCGCGUGAAGGAGACGGCCCUACGGGUUGUAAACUUCUUUUGUACUGGAAAAAACCCCUGGUCGUGUAUCGGGGCUGAUGGUACCGUAAGAAUAAGGAUCGGCUAACUCCGUGCCAGCAGCCGCGGUAAUACGGAGGAUCCAAGCGUUAUCCGGAUUCAUUGGGUUUAAAGGGUGCGCAGGCGGAAUUUCAAGUCAGUGGUGAAAUCCUACGGCUUAACUGUAGAACUGCCAUUGAUACUGUUGUUCUUGAGUACAUUUGGAGUGGGCGGAAUGUGUCAUGUAGCGGUGAAAUGCUUAGAUAUGACACAGAACACCGAUCGCGAAGGCAGCUCACUAAGUUGUAACUGACGCUCAGGCACGAAAGCGUGGGGAUCAAACAGGAUUAGAUACCCUGGUAGUCCACGCCGUAAACGAUGAUUACUCGAUGUUGGCGAUACACUGUCAGCGUCUAAGCGAAAGCAUUAAGUAAUCCACCUGGGGAGUACGGCCGCAAGGUUGAAACUCAAAGGAAUUGACGGGGGCCCGCACAAGCGGAGGAGCAUGUGGUUUAAUUCGAUGAUACGCGAGGAACCUUACCUGGGCUAGAACGCUGGACGACUGUCCGGGAAACCGGAUUUCCCUUCGGGGCGGCCAGCGAGGUGCUGCAUGGUUGUCGUCAGCUCGUGCCGUGAGGUGUCGGGUUAAGUCCCAUAACGAGCGCAACCCCUAUCAUUAGUUGCCAUCAUGUCAUGCUGGGGACUCUAGUGAAACUGCCUACGCAAGUAG
rnacentral:rRNA from 1 species